GACGAACGCUGGCGGCGUGCUUAACACAUGCAAGUCGUACGGUAAGGCCCUUUCGGGGGUGCACGAGUGGCGAACGGGUGAGUAACACGUGAGUAACCUGCCCACAACUUUGGGAUAACGCUAGGAAACUGGUGCCAAUACUGGGUAUGUGCUCCUGCUGCAUGGGGGGGGUUGGAAAGCUCCGGCGGUUGUGGAUGGACUCGCGGCCUAUCAGCUUGUUGGUGGGGUAGUGGCCUACCCAGGCGGCGACGGGGAGCCGGCCUGGGGGGGUGACCGGCCACCUCGGGACUGGGAUACCGCCCCGACUCCUACGGGGGGCCGGAGUUGGGGAUUUUUCCCCAUGGGCCCCAGCCUGAUGCAGCCCCGCCGCGGGCGGGAUGGCGGCCUUCGGGUUGUAAACCGCCUUCCGCAGGGACGAAGCUUUUUGUGACGGUACCUGCAGAAGAAGCACCGGCUAACUACGUG
rnacentral:rRNA from 1 species